UAUGUUGUUAUGCAUGGCUUAAGCUGAUAAAUCAGUAGACAUUUCAAGUAAACAAACAAAAUGAAUUUGAGAGGUUAUAAGUGUUUGCAAGUGUCACCGUGGAGACCAGAGAAUGGAUUGUCACCAUGGAGACUUGCAUAAACACUGCCUGUAAUGAUUUCCAUGGGGAAUGAGAUAUAGAAGAGAUUUGGGAAGGAGGAUAUAUAAAUGGAGCUGGCACUCUGUGUACAUAGUCCAAGAGAUUUAACUUCAAGGAAAAAUUAUGUUCACGUCAGGAGAAAAUAGCUGAUUGAGAAACAUUGACGAUUAAUUCCCAAUACUACUAAGGAAAAUGUCACUACAAAGUGAAGCAAACCUGGCUGAGAGUCUUAAGAUGGCAGACAGGACAGGUAAGUUUUGGUGGGAUUGGCAGGCACUUGGACAUCAGCCAGAAGGUACAGGCUUUCUGCAGGUAACCUCCAUUCCAGAAAUAUGUGGUAUUGUAGAAAGAAAUAUCAUCCAAAGGAAGGGGACUAUUCAAACUGUGAGUACCUCAGAAAACUACUCUGAGUCCUCCUCAAUCUCACCCCCUGGCUGGGUUACCAAAACCCUCUCAGUUGUCAGAUCUAAUAGACACUCUUCAUACGUUGUCUGAUGCAACUUUUGAGUGAAAUUUUAAAUGUUUAUUUAUUUGGGGAGAGAGAGAGAAAGAGAGAGAGUACAAGUAGGGGAGGGCAGAGAGAGAGAAGGAGAGAGAGAACCCCCAACAGGCUCCUUGCUGUGAGGGCAGAGCCUGACACAGGGCUGGAACUCAGGAACUGUGAGAUCACUACCUGAGCUGAAAUCAAGAGUCGGAGGCUUAACCAACUGAGCCACCCAGGUGCCCCUGAGUGAAAUUUCAUACUGUGGACCAGCCCUUCCUUUUAUAAACCCCUCAUUCCUUGGCCUCUUGUGCUUGCUUCUUUACUGGAUUCCUUCUGAAUCACUCUAACUCCUUCUCAGGUUCCACUGGCUUCUUCUCUGGACUCCAUCACGUCUUUGUUUUUCUCAUUUUACAUGCUUCCGGAUGAGAAGUGAUGGGGCCCUCAACAGCUCCAGCAGCAGUGGGGAUAAAGAGGACAUACAACGUGAAGGCUGAUUGGAGGAGGUUUCCAACUCACUCAAGUCAAACAUCAGGAGAGAAAGCAGCCCCUGAGCUCCCUUCCUCCCCAGCCAGCCCACCCUUGCAUCAGAGCCAGAAGUCCCAUAGUGCUGCCGGAAUAUCUUUGCCAGCCCUUACCCUUAUCCCACGGUCAUGUAGUGGUGGAUUUAUUUGUCUUUCCCCCUAGACCGUGAGGUCCUUGGUACCUCCACAGUCUGACACAUUGCAGUCAUCCUGUUACUGAGUAAAGGAAUGAGGUACUUAAAAUAUGUACAAAUAAAAAUGUAGCACAAGUUGCCAUAUGUACUUAAAAUGAGCCUCCCUAAGAUGCUCAAAUGCUGGGCGUGGUAUCAAAGUUCAAAUUUCUCACGGACCAUAAAGAAAGUGAAAACACCAUCCUUCAACUUAUUUGUAAUUCUUCUUUACUCAUAGUCAUUAAUGCACAGUUUAGCUCAAAAUUGUUUCUGCUUAUGUGAGUUCCAACUCUCAAGCAAAGCCUGAAGGCUAAUGUCAUUAUCUCUUACAGAUUUUCAUAUCAAUUAUACUACCUACUACAGUGGCUGCUCAGUAAAUAGUAAGUUGAUAAAUGGAUUUAUUACUCCUAAACUUGGACCAGCAGCUCCAGCCAGGCAGGUAGGCUCUUUUAUAUUUCCUGAACUGCCCCAUCCCUCUUCUGUCCACAUCCCACCAUGCAGCCAGUCCACUCAAGCCUCCUUUCUCUUCCUAUAAUCACCAAAACCCACAGAACCCCAAACUCCCAAAAUAGAUUUGUACUUAUUCAUACCUGUAUGUCUCUCAAUGUCACCCAAAUGAUCAUGCAUUACAAAUGCCAUAUGACUUCAGCAAAACUCUAAGUACCUGGAGGGCAGGGAAUGUGUAUUUUCAUCUUUAUAUCAUUCCUUCUACAAUUUCUUUCACAGUUCUUUACAAGGAAGACUUUUAAGAGGUGUAAAACUAACUGGUAUAAGUUCAAUUUUAAAUACUCUGUCAGAAAAAUACCUCAAAUUUUAAUCAACCAACCAUUAUUCGUCCGGAUCUAAAACCUGAACCUUGGAGCACCUGGGUGGCUCAGUCAGUUAAGAUCCCAGCUCUUGGUUUCAGCUCAGGUCAUGACCUCACAGUUUGUGAGAUUGAGCCCCGCGUCUGGUUGUGUGCUGACAGCAUGGAGCCUGCUUGGGAUUCUCCCUCUCUCCGUCUCUCUCAAAGUAAAUAAAUAAAUUUUAAAACCUGAACCUAGGUUCUCUAGGCUCUGAAGUAAGGAAAUGUUUCAGUUCCUAGGCCCACAGGUGGGGCUCCUAUACCUGGCUCCUAUUAGUUUUGGUGUGUUUUUUUUUUUUUUUUAUUACUUUAGGUGUUUAGUUGCAAGUCAUUUUUUCAGGCUUAUGACAUAUUUCCCCAAUUAUGAAUGUAAUUCAUACUAUCAAUUGAUUUUCCUUGAAUGGACAAUCAUAGACCCCUUGUCGAAGUUGUUACAUUUUUACAUAUAAAUUCUAAGCUGGUAGCCUGUGUGUUGGAACUACUAGGUAUAAAUGGUAAUAAGUAAACAACUGUUUAAAAGGAAAUCCAUUUAAAUCACCCCUCUCUUCUCCCCGCAUCAAGAAAGCUGCUAGCCAGUAAAAGAAGUCAAAAUCCCUAAAAAUGAGAGAGGAGAGGGAAACAAGAAUUCAUCCUGCCAAGCUCAAUGUAGCAUGACAAAUCUUUUCCUACAAUCUGGCUUCUCUCUCUCCAACUGUCUAAAACACAACACUGCAGACAGAGGCCACCCCCAGGCCCAAAGUGUCAUUAUCACUGCUGGGAAACAGGUUUUUUUCUGUCAGGUCUGACCACAAAUCCGCAGCAACCGAUGGCCAAAGUCUCCGCAGAUGAGCAUUUUCUAGACGGGCUUGUUACAUUUCACUUACAGGCCCAAACCAGGAAGUGCGGUUUAAGAUGAGCCAAAGACAAAAAACACUUCAGCCUCGGUAACAAAACCCAGCCAGGAUCUAGAAAGCCUAUAGAGGUUUAAAUUGGGGACUAUUCGGCUUGGAUUGGAACCUCGGGCUUCCUACCCUUAAACGUUUCUAAACUUUCAAAUCGCGCCCCCCUGCCCAAAAAAGCCACCAAAGAGAGACGACAUAAAACAUACACAGGAGCGCGCACACAACCUACACAAACACACACAUCUACACAAACACACGCACAGACCAAUUUGUUUUUGUGAUCCGCUUCCUUGUGUAGGCGGUCCAGGAUUUAAGUCGGUAAGUUCUUCUCUAAACUAAACCAGGGCAGAUAGCAGAAAAGGGGUCUAAUUCUGGAGAUUUUUAAGACGGGUCGAGGCGUAGACUGGCCACGCCCGGGUCCCGCUCUCCCGUUGCACAACUGCAAGCUAAGUCUGGGCAAGUCCAAGGAGGAACCCUGAGACCUCCAGCCCCUCCUUCCCUCAACCCACGGGAGCAGCAAAAUCCUGG